rnacentral:rRNA from 1 species
AAAGCGUGCGCAGGCGGUUCGGAAAGAAGGAUGUGAAAUCCCAGGGCUUAACCUUGGAACUGCAUUCUUAACUACCGGGCUAGAGUAUGUCAGAGGGGGGUGGAAUUCCGCGUGUAGCAGUGAAAUGCGUAGAUAUGCGGAGGAACACCGAUGGCGAAGGCAGCCCCCUGGGAUAAUACUGACGCUCAUGCACGAAAGCGUGGGGAGCAAACAGGAUUAGAUACCCUAGU